ensembl:lncRNA
UGCCAAUCACAUACACAUUCACACACUCAUUCAUACACUACAGACACUUUGGACGUGACAAUCAGUCUACCAUGCAUGUCUUUGGACUGGGGGAAGGAAAGCAGAGGAAACCACCUCAGCACGGGGAGAACAUGCAAACUCCGCACACACAGGGCCACGGCGGGACUCGAACCCCCGACCUACUAAUGGUAUCUACUACUGAGGGUUGCAAGAUCACAGAUGCCCGUGAUUGGCUGGUGUUGCUGUGAUUGACAGGGGAAAAGAGUCAUUGCAUCCCUCCCACCCAGACAGCACAGCCAGUUUUGCUCCCUGUAGCAUUGUAGGGAUUUGAACUCGAGCAAACAGAGUCUGUUGUGCCACAUGGUAACCAUUGGAAAAUUGAGGAUGGUUUGGGGGCCUUUUGAUUAUUGCGGCUAUGGUACAUAAUUGUUUUUGUGUCUCUGACCACUGAUUUUGAAUUAUCUUGUAAUAAUUCUUCUAAUUAACCUCGAUACAUUCC